UUUGCAUAGUAGCCGGUAUUGUAGUAUAAUGUGCAUUGUGCCAUUAGGGGCACACCGCUCACCGUGCGUACAGAUAACGUACAGACUGAUCGAUGGUAACGCUGUUUUCAUCUUUUAAUUGGCAAUGAAAUGUACCUUGCAAUGUUGUUGUGGGGCUUCUCCGCUGAAUCCUCCGAAUCUUAUUUUUUUACCGAAUAAAUCGUCUCUAAUGCAAAAUAACAUUGGAAAAAGGAUUGAGUUCCCGAUGUAUGAUAACGAAUUGGUGUGAAGUGAACCAAUUAAACACCACCACCACAGCUAUCACCUAAACAUUACUACUUAUUUGGAAGAAUUACAGAUAAAUAUUUUCUUAUUUUAAAAUUAAGUAUAUUUGUAUUUAUAUUACUUUGAAGUCUUAAAUAUUAACAUCCUCCGUUAUAUAUUUUAUACAAGAUUUGUAGAUAAAACCUAACCGGAACAUGUCUGGAACCCCCAAGUAAAAAGGUAAGUAAUUUGUGGGGGUUUUUGGUAAGUAAUCUAUUUAAAAAAAUCUUUAAUCUCAACAUCGUGUUUAAAGUCACUUUGGUUCACAUUUAGUCCGUGUACGAAAUGGUAAUGUAUUUUGGUGACCCUUUUGGUAAGUACCUACCUAAACUUUUUCAAAUGUAUACUUGUAUUAUACAUACUUACCUAAUAUACCUAUUACAUUCAUAAGUGUUUCAAAUAUAUAUGCUGCGACACCUGAAUAUUGCACAGUUGCAAAAAAAAUAUCAGGAAAUAGGUAUUGAAGUAGGUACUACCUCACGAUUCAGCCAUGACCUGCGCUAACAAGAAUGAAUGAAAUACGAGAUCUAAGCUGCAUGCUGAGAAAUACGUUAUACCAGCGAAUAUUUUUUAAACACUCUGAAAUACUUAGAUAUAGUUAUUUUUCUUAAUCAACGACUAGUAAGUACCUUCUCAUUGGAAAGUUCAUAACUUUUAUACUUUCACAAUUUUACUUUCUUUGAUCGAUUUUUUUAUACUCUUUUCUAUCUAAAUUCAAUGGCUAUAAUGCCCGCAAAAAGUUGAUAAAAUGAGUACUGGUUAAGUAUACUUAACUACUUUUCUGUAUUUUCUAAAUACCAUUAAAAUAGAUUUCCGAUUUAGAUUUUUAUCCUUAUUAUUUCAGAUAAUAGGAAGCUCAAAAUCUAGACGAACACAGAACCAUAUAGGAAUAAGAAUCGAAUAAGAAAUGUCACGAUGUGAAUUCAUAUUAAACUCUUUUAGGCAUCCUAGUUUACGCCCCUGAUGCAAUAUCGUCCCUUAGCUUACAACACCGCUCAAGUCGAAAAUUGGCGGUUUUUACAUUUCAUUGGAUGAAGAAGAAAAUAAAGGUUAAAAUAAAGUAAAUCGUCAAAAUAAGUACUUAUAAAUAAUUAUUUAUUAACCACUAACUAGAGUAUGUAUUAAGUAGCAAUAAAAAAAUCUACAGAUAUUUUAAAUAAGACAUUUUUUUUCGUCUCCUGUAAAGUUGGUAAAAAUGACUUAAGCGGUGUUGUAAGCUAAGGGACGA
rnacentral:lncRNA from 1 species